rnacentral:rRNA from 1 species
GGACUGAGACACGGCCCAGACUCCUACGGGAGGCAGCAGUAGGGAAUCUUCCGCAAUGGACGAAAGUCUGACGGAGCAACGCCGCGUGAGUGAUGAAGGUUUUCGGAUCGUAAAGCUCUGUUGUUAGGGAAGAACAAGUGCGAGAGUAACUGCUCGCACCUUGACGGUACCUAACCAGAAAGCCACGGCUAACUACGUGCCAGCAGCCGCGGUAAUACGUAGGUGGCAAGCGUUGUCCGGAAUUAUUGGGCGUAAAGGGCUCGCAGGCGGUUUCUUAAGUCUGAUGUGAAAGCCCCCCGGCUCAACCGGGGAGGGUCAUUGGAAACUGGGAAACUUGAGUGCAGAAGAGGAGAGUGGAAUUCCACGUGUAGCGGUGAAAUGCGUAGAGAUGUGGAGGAACACCAGUGGCGAAGGCGACUCUCUGGUCUGUAACUGACGCUGAGGAGCGAAAGCGUGGGGAGCGAACAGGAUUAGAUACCCUGGUAGUCCACGCCGUAAACGAUGAGUGCUAAGUGUUAGGGGGUUUCCGCCCCUUAGUGCUGCAGCUAACGCAUUAAGCACUCCGCCUGGGGAGUACGGUCGCAAGACUGAAACUCAAAGGAAUUGACGGGGGCCCGCACAAGCGGUGGAGCAUGUGGUUUAAUUCGAAGCAACGCGAAGAACCUUACCAGGUCUUGACAUCCUCUGACAACCCUAGAGAUAGGGCUUUCCCUUCGGGGACAGAGUGACAGGUGGUGCAUGGUUGUCGUCAGCUCGUGUCGUGAGAUGUUGGGUUAAGUCCCGCAACGAGCGCAACCCUUGAUCUUAGUUGCCAGCAUUUAGUUGGGCACUCUAAGGUGACUGCCGGUGACAAACCGGAGGAAGGUGGGGAUGACGUCAAAUCAUCAUGC